GACGUAGGGCGCGAGCGUUGUCCGGCUUUAUUGGGCGUAAAGAGCUCGUAGGCGGCUCGUUGCGUCGGCUGUGAAAACCCACAGCUUAACUGUGGGCCUGCAGCCGAUACGGGCGAGCUAGAGUUCGGUAGGGGAGACUGGAAUUCCUGGUGUAGCGGUGAAAUGCGCAGAUAUCAGGAGGAACACCGGUGGCGAAGGCGGUUCUCUGGGCCUUACCUGACGCUGAGGAGCGAAAGCGUGGGGAGCGAACAGG
rnacentral:rRNA from 1 species